GGGCUGAGUAGGGGGACAGGGGCUGAGAAAGGGGACAGGGGCUGAGGGGGACAGGGCUGAGGAAGAGGGGCAGGAGCUUAGGAAAGGGACAGGGGCUGAGUAGGGGGACAGGGGCUGAGUAAGGGACAGGGGCUGAGGAGGGGGACGGGGGCUGAGUAAGGGGACAGGGGCUGAGGGGGACAGGGCUGAGGAAGAGGGGCAGGAGCUUAGGAAAGGGACAGGGGCUGAGGAAAGGGACAGGGACUGAGGAAAGGGACAAGGGCUAAGGGGGACAGUGGCUGAGUGAGGGGACAAGGACUAAGGAAAGGGACGGGCUGAAGAAGGGGACAGGGGCUGAGGGGGACAGGGGACUGAGGAAGGGGACAGUGGCUGAGGAAAGGGACAGGGCUGAGGAAGAGGGACAGGGGCUUAGGAGUGGGGGUGGGG